UAAUAAGUGUUUUAUGGCACUUUUUAAAUCCGUAUCCACCUUGUGUGCAAUGUCGGUCGAUCUUCUUCUUGAGGAUCGACCAAACAUCAACCUUUAUCUUUUAACUCUUUGUCUGAAAAAUAUUACGAAUAAACAAUUCAAAAUA
rnacentral:misc_RNA from 1 species